rnacentral:rRNA from 2 species
GGAAUUAUUGGGCGUAAGCGCGCGCAGGCGGUUUCUUAAGUCUGAUGUGAAAGCCCACGGCUCAACCGUGGAGGGUCAUUGGAAACUGGGGAACUUGAGUGCAGAAGAGAAAAGCGGAAUUCCACGUGUAGCGGUGAAAUGCGUAGAGAUGUGGAGGAACACCAGUGGCGAAGGCGGCUUUUUGGUCUGUAACUGACGCUGAGGCGCGAAAGCGUGGGGAGCAAACAGGAUUAGAUACCCUGGUAGUCCACGCCGUAAACGAUGAGUGCUAAGUGUUAGAGGGUUUCCGCCCUUUAGGGCUGCAGCUAACGCAUUAAGCACUCCGCCUGGGGAGUACGGUCGCAAGACUGAAACUCAAAGGAAUUGACGGGGGCCCGCACAAGCGGUGGAGCAUGUGGUUUAUUUCGAAGCAACGCGAAGAACCUUACCAGGUCUUGACAUCCUCGGACUUCUCUAAAAA